rnacentral:misc_RNA from 1 species
GAUGAAGAACGUAGCGAAAUGCGAUAAGUAAUGUGAAUUGCAGAAUUCAGUGAAUCAUCGAAUCUUUGAACGCACAUUGCGCCCGCCAGUAUUCUGGCGGGCAUGCCUGUUCGAGCGUCAUUUCAACCAUCAAGCCCUGCUUGCGUUGGGGUCCUGCGGCUGCCCGCAGGCCCUGAAAACCAGUGGCGGGCUCGCUAGUCACACCGAGCGCAGUAAUACAUCUCGCUUUGGGCGUGCGGCGGGUUCUUGCCGUUAAACACCCCCUUUUUACCAAGGUUGACCUCCGAUCAGGUAGGAAUACCCGCUGAACUUAAGCAUAUCAAUAAGCGGAGGA